GGGAUUACCUCAGUAACGGCGAGUGAAGCGGUAACAGCUCAAAUUUGAAAUCUGCCGCAAGGCCGAGUUGUAAUUUGUAGAAGAUGCUUUGGGUAUGGCCCCGGUCUAAGUUCGUUGGAACACGACGUCAUAGAGGGUGAGAAUCCCGUAUGUGACUGGGUGCUUUUGCCUAUGUAAAGCUCUUUCGACGAGUCGAGUUGUUUGGGAAUGCAGCUCAAAAUGGGUGGUAUAUUUCAUCUAAAGCUAAAUAUUGGCCAGAGACCGAUAGCGCACAAGUAGAGUGAUCGAAAGAUGAAAAGCACUUUGGAAAGAGAGUUAAACAGUACGUGAAAUUGUUGAAAGGGAAGCGCUUGCAACCAGACUUGCACGCUGUUGAUCAUCCAGGGCUUCUGUUUGGUGCACUCAACUGUGUUCAGGCCAGCAUCGGUUUUGGUGGUGGGAUAAAGGCCUUGGGAAUGUAGCUUCUUUCGGGAGUGUUAUAGCCCUCGGUGCAAUGCCGCCUACCGGGACCGAGGACCGCGCUUCGGCUAGGAUGCUGGCGUAAUGGUUGUAAGCGACCCGUCUUGAAACACGGACCAAGGAGUCUAACAUCUAUGCGAGUGUUUGGGUGUCAAACCCAUACGCGUAAUUAACGUGAACGGAGGUGAGAACCCUUAAGGGUGCAUCAUCGACCGAUCCUGAUGUCUUCGGAUGGAUUUGAGUAAGAGCAUAGCUGUUGGGACCCGAAAGAUGGUGAACUAUGCCUGAAUAGGGUGAAGCCAGAGGAAACUCUGGUGGAGGCUCGCAGCGGUUCUGACGUGCAAAUCGAUCGUCAAAUUUGGGUAUAGGGGGCGAAAGACUA
rnacentral:rRNA from 1 species